CGUUGCACUAUCGUUAACUGAAUACAUAGGUUAACGAGGCGAACCGGGGGAACUGAAACAUCUAAGUACCCCGAGGAAAAGAAAUCAACCGAGAUUCCCCCAGUAGCGGCGAGCGAACGGGGAGCAGCCCGGAGUCUGAAUCAGCUUGUGUGUUAGUGGAACGGUCUGGAAAGUCCGACGGUACAGGGUGAUAGUCCCGUACACGAAAGCACACAUGCUGUGAACUCGAAGAGUAGGGCGGGACACGUGGUAUCCUGUCUGAAUAUGGGGGGACCAUCCUCCAAGGCUAAAUACUCCUGACUGACCGAUAGUGAACCAGUACCGUGAGGGAAAGGCGAAAAGAACCCCGGCGAGGGGAGUGAAAAAGAACCUGAAACCGUGUACGUACAAGCAGUGGGAGCCUCUUUAUGGGGUGACUGCGUACCUUUUGUAUAAUGGGUCAGCGACUUAUAUUCUGUAGCAAGGUUAACCGUAUAGGGGAGCCGAAGGGAAACCGAGUCUUAACUGGGCGUUAAGUUGCAGGGUAUAGACCCGAAACCCGGUGAUCUAGCCAUGGGCAGGUUGAAGGUUGGGUAACACUAACUGGAGGACCGAACCGACUAAUGUUGAAAAAUUAGCGGAUGACCUGUGGCUGGGGGUGAAAGGCCAAUCAAACCGGGAGAUAGCUGGUUCUCCCCGAAAGCUAUUUAGGUAGCGCCUCGUGAAUUCAUCUUCGGGGGUAGAGCACUGUUUCGGCUAGGGGGCCAUCCCGGCUUACCAACCCGAUGCAAACUACGAAUACCGAAGAAUGUUAUCACGGGAGACACACGGCGGGUGCUAACGUCCGUCGUGAAGAGGGAAACAACCCAGACCGCCAGCUAAGGUCCCAAAGUCAUGGUUAAGUGGGAAACGAUGUGGGAAGGCACAGACAGCCAGGAUGUUGGCUUAGAAGCAGCCAUCAUUUAAAGAAAGCGUAAUAGCUCACUGGUCGAGUCGGCCUGCGCGGAAGAUGUAACGGGGCUAAACCAUGCACCGAAGCUGCGGCAGCGACACUUAUGUGUUGUUGGGUAGGGGAGCGUUCUGUAAGCCGUUGAAGGUGUGCUGUGAGGCAUGCUGGAGGUAUCAGAAGUGCGAAUGCUGACAUAAGUAACGAUAAAGCGGGUGAAAAGCCCGCUCGCCGGAAGACCAAGGGUUCCUGUCCAACGUUAAUCGGGGCAGGGUGAGUCGACCCCUAAGGCGAGGCCGAAAGGCGUAGUCGAUGGGAAACAGGUUAAUAUUCCUGUACUUGGUGUUACUGCGAAGGGGGGACGGAGAAGGCUAUGUCAGCCGGGCGACGGUUGUCCCGGUUUAAGCAUGUAGGCGGAGGUUCCAGGUAAAUCCGGUACCUUAUUAACGCUGAGGUGUGAUGACGAGGCACUACGGUGCUGAAGUGAUAAAUGCCCUGCUUCCAGGAAAAGCCUCUAAGCAUCAGGUAACACGAAAUCGUACCCCAAACCGACACAGGUGGUCAGGUAGAGAAUACCAAGGCGCUUGAGAGAACUCGGGUGAAGGAACUAGGCAAAAUGGUGCCGUAACUUCGGGAGAAGGCACGCUGAUGUGUAGGUGAAGCCCCUGCGGGCGGAGCUGAAAUCAGUCGAAGAUACCAGCUGGCUGCAACUGUUUAUUAAAAACACAGCACUGUGCAAACACGAAAGUGGACGUAUACGGUGUGACGCCUGCCCGGUGCCGGAAGGUUAAUUGAUGGGGUUAGCGGCAACGCGAAGCUCUUGAUCGAAGCCCCGGUAAACGGCGGCCGUAACUAUAACGGUCCUAAGGUAGCGAAAUUCCUUGUCGGGUAAGUUCCGACCUGCACGAAUGGCGUAAUGAUGGCCAGGCUGUCUCCACCCGAGACUCAGUGAAAUUGAACUCGCUGUGAAGAUGCAGUGUACCCGCGGCAAGACGGAAAGACCCCGUGAACCUUUACUAUAGCUUGACACUGAACACUGGUCCUUGAUGUGUAGGAUAGGUGGGAGGCUUUGAAGCGUGGACGCCAGUCUGCGUGGAGCC
rnacentral:rRNA from 1 species